AGAAUAUUCCAGCAACUGAGACACAUUGCACCAAUCAUGAUAACCAAGAGAAAUGGAAUAUGAUGAUCAGCCAGGCCUGAAGACCCUAAGAAGUGAAAAGAACCUCCACAGCCACUGGAACUUAUGGAGCCAUGAGUGUGCAAUUUGACUAAAUCGUGCUGACACUCCAAGCAAGCCGCACAGGCCUGGUGCAUUACCUGUCAUCACAGGGUCACUCUCCCCUUCCCAGGAGUGAUGUAAGAACGAUUUAUUAUAGUCCCGAGGGGAAAAAGAAACUAUCCUUGAAUGGGUGGAGAGUAAAUUUUGGGAGGGACUGUAACUGGGUUAUUCAAAACUAGAGUCUUUGGAAUCCUCUAUUCUUUUUCUUGAGACAGGGUCUCACUUUGUCACCCAGGCUGGAGUGCAGUGGCAAGAUCUCGGCUCACUGCAGCCUCAACCUCCUGGGCUCAAGCAAUCCUCCCACCUCAGUCUCCUUAGUAGCUAGGACUAUAGGUGUGUGCCACCACGGCAGGCAAUUUUUUUUUUUAACUUUUAGUAGAGACGGGGUGUUUGUUGCCCAGGCUGGUCUCAAACUCUGGGGCUCAAGUGAUCCUAUCGCCUCAGCCUCCCAAAGUUUUGGGAUUACAGGCUUGAGCCACCACGCCCCGCCAGAAUCCUCUAUUGUAACCGAAACAAUCAGCAUGAAAUAGCACGAGGGGCUUAGAGGACUGAGACCCAUUACAGCUGAAUGCAGGAAUUAGGUAUCCUGGGGUAGCUUAAACCUCCACUCCCCUCUAUUGCUCUAGUCUUUGCCAGAGGUGCAUCCCCUGGUAAAUGCAGAGGACAUUCGUUGCCUUUGGCUGCACAUUUAGAGAAAUUACUUCCCUCCAAAUGUUCAUGGUCUGGUUGAAAUAGUAUUUUUAGGUGCCUGCCUCCCAAAAAAGGAGGCAAAAUGAUGUACCAGUGUACCUAUCGGUACACUGGUACAGCCAGGAAGUCAGAAAAUGAACAAAAUUGGCCUGUGGGUUGCUUCCUUUGAAGACUAAAGGAAGGGCUGAAGAAUCAAUCCAGUGGUGGUAUUCUGGCCUAGCUUUCUGCUGGGACCACUGCCAUAGCUCCUGCUUCCUAGUUCUCUAGGAACUAACUUCUUGCCUACUUUGGAGUAUGGUUCUUAAGGUUCCUAUUGGGUCUGUAAUCCUCCAGAAUCUUUCCAAUAAAUUUCUUUGCUUAAGUUAGGUUCUACUACUUCUUGGAACCUAAGAGCUCUAAUUAAUACAGUGGUUAACUGUGGACUGUAGUAAAUUGAAUGCAGCUAUUCCUGUUCUGUCAAUGCUAUGCCUAAUUUUGUUUCUAUAUUGAAAAAUUGUCAUAAGUAAUUCUCAGUUUUCAUGAGCUCUUUUAGGGAUCAGGCUAAUACAGUCUUCUCUCUCCCUGUUAACACCACUAACAACAAUAUGUUGAUGUACCUACUCCAGCUUGAUGUCAUCAUGUAGUGCAAUGGAAUUUAAACCGAUGGCCUAAACUAGAGCCAAAUAUUAUAAUUACCCAUUACAUGGUAAUAUACUGAUUAGGGAGGAUAGGAACAUGGAAGAGAAGGCGUGGGUUAUUUAAUAAAACAAACCAAGGAGUAGAGAAGUGUAAGUUAAAAGCACAGGAAACAAUUAACAAGGGACAAUACAAUGUAAAACCCAAGUUAUUCAAAAUGGUGACUAAUUUUGAAUAAUUUCCUAUAUUUCUUCUAGUGUUUCCCUGCCCCUACUUUUUUGUUUUGUUUUGUUUUGUUUUUUGAGAUGGCAUCUCGCUCUCUCGCCCAGGGUGGAGUGCAGUGGCGUGAUCUCAGCUCACUGCAACCUCCACCUCCCGGGUUCAAGCAAUUCUGCCUCAGCCUCCCGAGUAGCUGGGACUACAGGCACACACCACCAUGCCUGGAUAAUUUUUUUGUAUUUUUAGUAGGGAUGGGGUUUCACCGUGUUAGCCAGGAUGGUCUUGAUCUCCUGACCUCGUGAUCCGUCCACCUUGGGCUCCCAAAGUGCUGGUAUUACAGGCAUGAGGCAGCAGCCUGGUCCCCUACUUCUUCUGACACUGGCUGCUGUUAAAAUCUGGAGUUGCAGUCCUACUUCACCUGGAUCGACAAGGUUGCUCAAUACACGAACUCAACACUGAUCCUUUUGGUGGAAAAAAUGACACUAGCUGCAAUAUGUCUGCUGUCUCCUGUGGGGCCAUCUGGGGCAAAUUACUGCCCUUUCCCCACCAUGCUUGGGUUGGGCCCAAUGUGAGGACCAAUAUGGACUCAAGUUAUUAUAACAUCUGGUUAUAUAAUAGGACAUAGUCAAUGGGCAAGAGCUGCAUCAAUAUUCAAUGGUGGAAGGGACCGAGCCAUUCUGUUUUGGUAACUGGCAACUCACUUUUUCUGAAAAUAAGUGUCAAUGAUAAUUGGGAUAUAUAAACCUCAAGUCAGCCUCCCGCUGACCAUUCCAUGGAUUGUUAAGAAUUACACUGUGGUGAGCUAAUAAAUACAAAAGCCUAAAGCAAAUGUUACUGUGAAUAACGGGAAUAUUUAGUAAGUAUCCACUGGUCUGAGUGGAGGAGCAAGGAUUUUGCAUGAUGAUUAUCCCACUCCCCACUCCCAGAAGCCCUGCAGCCCCACUUGAGGCAGGUGCCCCUCCCCACAUACUUCACUGCUUCCCAGGGAUCUCCUGCACAGAGAAAAGCGACUCUCAGUUAUAUUCUGGGUUACUCAGUAAAUGGGUUAUGAAAGUCAUUAAAUUAAUUUCUCAUAUUUAUUACAUACACACACAAAAAUAUCAACAGAGCAAACAAAACUUAAGAUUCUAAGAAGGCUGGGGAGUUGAGCCACUGGUGUGUCCGUGCUUCUCUAUCUCCUCUUCCUGUGUACAGAUUAGGAUGUGACAGAGUCUUAAUUUAAAGUUUGAAACUAUAAUCCUAAUUUCCAUGAGAAUUUGUAGUAGUAGGGAACCUGAGCUCAGCAAAGGAGGCUGCGGACGAGCCUCCAGUCUUUGGUGAGCCUCUUGUCUUCCUGUGGACUUCACCUCCUCACCUGCCUUUGCUAUCCUGGGUUACCAUGUUUAGACUCAACUCUAGCUCAGCACCCUCUGGUCUUGGGUAGGUAUCAAAAAUUAAAUCUUUUUGUCUAGCCUUGGUUUCACACCCCCUCCCUUAUAUCUUUCCUAUAACAUCCAAUAAGAGGAUAUCCUGCUUUCCUCCUUAGCCCAGAUCGACUCGCCAUGGGCACCACCAUGUCUAAAUGUCAGCAGGGCACUUCCAGCCUUCCUCAGUUUGUAACGGACCAUUAUAGUGCAUGGUCUUUUAAAUCUGCAAUAGGCGCACCAGGGGUGACCCCAAAUUUUAAUUUCGCCUUUAUGGGUCCUGGAACUAUGGUAUCCUGCAGCAUUUAAAGGAGGACCAGGGAAGUCACCAUGCCAACUAGAUUGUUUCAUGUAUACAUGGAAAGAUUAGGUUCUGACACAAGUUGCCAAGAAAGUAACCAAAACCUCACUAAAGAUGUUGAGAGAACCACUGGGAAGUCCUGUCAAUUUCCUGUUCAAGUGUGACCCACUAAGACCACACCCCGCCUCCCAUCUCACAACAGCUAAAGACCGAAUAAUUGACUUCCUCCUCCUUCUCUGCCCCCAGAGUCACCCAAAAUCGUCUUGAGUAGAGUUCCAACAAGUGUCCUGAUGUUCCAUUUUCAAAGAUGCCAACCGGAGAUGCCCAGAGCUUUGCUAUAAAGUGCCUCUUAAUCGCAUAUAAAAUUCAGCCUCACCAAGAUUCAAGUCACAUUCCGAGUGUCCCGGUGUGCUAGGGCACUUGCAGAGAAUCUGCUGGUCUUGAUUCACUGGUGGGGGCAAUCGGUGCCCAGAUUAGGAACAUGCCCUGCCUGGGGUUUUAGACAGCGGGCUGGCAGUCAUCUUUCCUCACACCUAUCAGGCAGAUGGUACCUGCCAUGGUGUAUUGUAAAGUAUUAAAAAAAUAAAAAAAUUAAAAAGAACAAAGAAAAAUUCAGCCUCAAACCAUUAGCACUGCAAUCCUCAAGCCAUUAAGAAGGCACAUCCUAGAAAUAAUUAGAAUAUUUUCCAUCUAGAAAAGGCAGAAUAUGGCUGGGCAUUGUGGCUCACACCUAUAAUCCCAGUAUUUUGGAAAGCCAAGGCAGGUGGAUCACUUGAGGUCAGGAGUUCGAGACCAGCCUGAUUAACAUGGUGAAACCCCAUCUCUACUAAAAAUACAAAAUUAGCUGAGCAUGGUGGUGCACACUUGUAAUCCCAGCUACUUGGAAGGCUGAGGCAGGAGAAUUGCUUGAAUCCAGGAGGCGGAGGUUGUAGUGAGCCGAGAUCAUGCCAUUGCAUUCCAACCUAGGCAACAAGAGUGAAACUCCGCCUAAAGAAAAAAAAAAAAGAAAGAAAGAAAAGGCAGAAUAUUUGAAUAUUUCAGAAUGGCUGAAAAUAAAGUUAAGUCUCUUUUCAGAUAAGUCUAGGCUGCAGAAGGCCAGGAGAGAAAGCAAUUGUUUGUAUUUCAAAAAAAAAUCUUGGUCGACUAAGAGGCAUUAAGAAGAUACAUUCUAUAUACAUAAAGAGAAACUAGAGAAAAAGGAAAAUUAAAGAUCUGGGGACUAGGUUAUGAUAAAAUCAGCUUAGAGAAUCACUUGGAUUUAUGCAUUGUAAACUUUGGUAUAAUAUAAUAAUAUGUUGGUAGGAAAUGUUAUAUAUUAUAAAAGGAAGCUCAAAGAAGAGAGAGAAUAAAUUUUAAAGGCUUUAAUAUCAUUACUAUUUACUAAAUUAAAUUGUAAUGAAAUACAUGAAGCUGUGUGGGUUCUAACAUUGCCAGAAAUUGAAUAGUAGAAGAUAGAAUUGGGUGCCAUCCAGAACUUGUGCAUAUGAACCUUCUGUGUGUAAUGUUGCACCUGGUCACUACGUAAGGAUCAGAUAAUGGCUAAAUGAAAUUUUCAUACAUAACUGGGGAAAUUCGUUUGCUUGAUUUUCCCUUCACCCACAUCUCAUAAGGUAGACUCUGAGAACAGUUUUCUACCAUACUCAAAGGUUUAUUAUCACAAAAGAAAAAAACCUCUUGGCUGAAAACUGCCACCUUCUAGGAAAACUGCCAGCUAGUUAUACUGACAACCUCCCAGAACUGAAAACAAAUUAAUCAUACAUGGUUUAUAUAAGACAAAGCCACACAGAAUGAGCUAUGAGGAGUGACUCUACAAGAAAAUAAUUUGAUUACACAUCUUAGUGGCAUACAGUAUAAGGAUAAAAACAACUGCAAAGAAAUCUUAAAUUUUAUUUAAUAAUUUUAUCAGAUAAAUUAGUAAUUAGAUUAAUUUUGUUUGGAAUCAAGCUUUCAAGUAUAAGGAAAGAGAAGGAAAAUAAUAAAAUUUAAAUGCUUUAAUUGGGAAUCAUACUGUCAGAACUGAAUUAGAAAUAUCAAUAGAAAUCCAUGCUUUUUAAAAGAAAAAAGAGUAUAUGUUUUCCAAUUCUGUCAGCUAAAAUGAACUAAUAACAAGGGCUUAGGAGAAUGAACCUAAUGUGUGCACUUAAUGCUGAGAUUAUGGCAUCUUUCCAGGAUACCCUGGAGAAAUGACUGAUUCCAGGAGCCAUUAUGAGCCUGAGGCAACUUGCUGUAUGUACCAAGAGGCAAGAAAUAAUUCAUAGUAAUGGGACUGUGUCAAAAGAACAAAACAGGGCCCCCCAUUGGCCAAAGUGUGUCAAUUUGAGCAGCAAAAAUAAUAAUUAUUGCAGUUGAUUAAAUCACAUUGAAUCUAUGAGAGGCCACGAGUCCAUAAUGAUACGCAUGAGAAAAUUUUGCUUAAAAUUGAGUAAAGAUGGUGAAUUGAAUAGAGUAUAUUACUUUUGGAUCCUUUAUUCAAACAUCCUAUUAUUUUGACACAUUUAUCAGUGAAAAAUACAGAAUUUAGUAAAUAUUAAAUACAAAGUUAGAAAGCAUUUUCUGAGGCGGGGCGUGGUAGCUCAUGCCUGUAAUCUCAGCACUUUGGGAGGCCGAAGUGGGAGGAAAGCUUGAGCACAGGGAGGUGGAGGCUGUAGUGAACUGUGAUCGCGCCACUCCACUCCAGCCUAGAAGACAGAGUGUGAGACGCUGUCUCAAAAAACAAACAAAACAAAACAAAAACAAGCAAGCAAACAUAGUCUGGCUUGAGGGAAGAUGCCAGUAUGUGAUCAUAAAUUGGACAAAAUCAUUCAAGACAGCCGCAUUUUAAUCAGAUCAAAUUUCAAAAUUUCAAAUAUCUAUAAGCAUUUUAUGUUCUUAAAAACAUGAGAAACUUGCAAGAUAUCAUUAAAUUCAAAGGUUUCCAAAACCAGUUUGAAACACAUUUGUAUGUCUUAAAACCUUUUGUGAAGUUUAGCUGUAUUUAGACAAGUAAAAUUUUAUUUACGUAUCUCCAGAGUCAAAAUACAAAACCCAAGCGAUCAGGGCAAAGUGGAAGCAACCAACCCCAACCUCCCCGCAUGGAAACAGAUAGUGUGCGCUGGUCACAUCCAGGGACGUGCUCCAUGCAAUCCACAAACUAAGAUCUGCCCCGACCAUAUUAUAUGGACCAUAUAAAAAUUAAAGUAGCUGUAUAUGUACUUUACUGACAUAGAAACAAGUCUAUGUUAUAUUGCUAAGUAUAAAAUUCAAAUUUUAGAAUGUCAAUAGUAUAAUCCCACUGAAGUAAAAAAAAAUUGAUAUGUUUUUCAAGUUUGAGUCUAUAAUCUUUGUAUGGGAAUUUUUAGUAAAGCGUAUAUAUUCAUCUACAGCUUAACUUUUUAGUCUUAAAAAAGGCAAAAGUGAAAUUUCGACGAUGAAAUCCACGGUUGUAACCAGCAAUACCACACUUGCACGGUUGCAAUACUCGCGCUCUUCGCACUGUAACCUCUGGAAUCCACUGUAACCUCUCGAAUCCGCUGUCACCCGAGAUCUCUUAACCUGGCGGUCCCCUGCCAGGACUCGGGCGGCCGUCAAGAGUGCGCAGGCGCAAGCGCGGCCGCCGUCGGUGGGGUUUUAUGUGCUGUUGAGACUGCUGUUGAGCUUCUGGGCCUUUUUAAGACUGCCUUCCAAAAGACGACGUGAUGACUCUAAAGAGAAAGGAAAAUUUGUUGCGUACGCAGAAGGGCAGGCUGGGCGCACUCUGAGCGUCUUUCGGGGACCGACGGCCUCGCCCACGUGCUUCCGGGCACCAGCGCGCCCAAAGCCCGUGCACUAGGAAACGCACAAAAGCACCAGCGGGCGAGCCCGAGGGCGAGCCCACGGGUAGCCAGGAGGCGGCGAGGGCGGCUUGUCUUCCAGAGACUGGGGAAUCAAGAAAGGCAGAGCCACCUCCUCGGCCCCAGCGCAGCAAGUGCAGGAGGCAGGGAGGGCGCAGCGCCCCGCCGUCCACGGUACCCGUGGAACCCGGUGCGCGCCCCGGGAGCUGGGGCGGCUCAGGCCCAGCGUGCCCAGAAAGCCAACCACGUUGGUCAGGAGGACGUUCUCCCACUAUCCGCGAUCCUCAGGCUCUGAUUAAAGUCAAAUUAAAAGGAGCUAUCCGUUCCGGUAUCUGUUGUUACUCUUGUGAUAAAUAUGGUGUUUGAUACGAAAGUAUCUUAAUAGUCAUGCUGCCAAUCAAAGAACAAAACACGUAAAGCCUGUGCGCUAAGAACACGAGAGCAUUUCGCUCCUCAGGAGGUGCAGUUUAUCUUGUCUCCUUUGUUUCAUAUAUAAUUCCAAGGAGAAUUCCUUGUUAUCAACACAUUUUGCUCUUUGCCUUUGGGGGAUGACAUAGGCAUAUUGCAUUUGAUCAGAUUAGUGUUAACCUUCCACCCACGUUUUUACUACAUGCUGUACCAUUAAUACAGCAGGAUUUUAUACCUUUAACCGCAAAAUUCAAGAGCAGAAAAAUACUCAAAUUGUAUGUUAGUUUAACAUGAAAACGAGUUAUUUCAGCCCUGAUAGGAUACUUUUAAACCAAUACUACCUAACAAAUAUGUUUCUUAUUCGUAUAAGCCCAUACACAUGGUUUUUUAAAUGAGUUUUAUAAAUAAUAAUUAGCAUUGAGGCCCUGAUCUAAGUAUUUGAAACUCUGUUACUCUUCACAACAAUCCUGAGAUGGGCAUAUUUUCCUCAUUUUGCAGAUAAGGAAACAGGCACUGGGAUGGUAAGAAACCCAGGCCAUCUGGCCCCUAAUAGCCUUUUACCACCAUGCUAAAGCUUUACCCAUUUUUGAGAUCCAAAAUAUUACAUAGUGCACACAUAUUUGGUAACCAAAUCAGGAUUAAACAUUAAAGUUAAGGGCCAAGCACAGUGCCCUGUAAUCCUAGCAUUUUGGGAAGCUGAGGCGGGCAGAUCGCUUGACCUCAGGAGUUCAAGACCAGCCUGGAAAACAUGGUGAAACCCCAUCUCAACAAAAAAAUACAAAAAUAGUUGGGUGUGGUGGUGUGUGCCUGUGGUCCCAGCUACUUGGGAGGCUGAGGUGGGAGGAUCGCUUGAGCCAAGGAGGCAGAGGUUGCAGUGAACCAAGAUCACACCACUGCACUCCAGCCUGGGUGACAUAGUGAGACGCUGUCUCAAAAAGAAAAAAGCAAAAUUAAAGUAAGAACAUAAUAAGAAAUAUGUUUGGCACUGUGUUACGGGGAGAAAAAAUCAAUAGGGAGAUAAAUCCUGCUUUCAGGGUAAGUGCAAUUUGCUGAGUAAAAGAAAUAUUUUAAGAUACCUUAAAAAAGAAAACAAAGGCUGUUGUAAAUUGGAUAUUCAAUUAAAUAUUCUUGGGCAGAUUGGCAGAUGAUAGAUCUAAUGAACUUGGGGUUUAUAAAUACACAGAAUGCCACAUUUUCACUAAUACCUUAUGUUUUGGGUAAAGAGUAAAACCAA
rnacentral:lncRNA from 10 species